AUUUUAUCGAGCAAAUCACCAACUUCUACCAUUCUGUGAGUUUCAUAUUCAUCGUACAACAACAUGCCCAAACAAUCGAGUUAAGGGUGCGUUUGGUUCGUAUUAUGAAAGAUUACUAGGAAUAAAAGAUAUCCGAGAAUCUUAUUCCUAUUCAUCAUAUUACUAAGAAUGUGAAAUUUCUGUGUUUGGUUCGCACGGUAAUAUUAAUUAGCCAUGUUAUUUAAUAUUACAAAAAAUAUACAAUUUAUUUAUUUAUUUAAUUUUAGAUAAUGUUACCAAAAGUUUUAAUAUUUUUUUAGAAAAAAAGGAGAGAGAGAGUAUAAGUUAGAGAGAGAUAACAUAAUUAAAAAAAAAAAAGAAAAAUAUAGUCGAAAUUAGGAGUGAGAGAGUUGAAAUUUUAGAAAGAGAGAGAGAGAAAGCUUAGUUUAGAGAGAGAAAAAAAAGUUGAAUUUUAGAGAGAAAAAUAAGUUUAGAGAGAGAUAUAAGGUUAGAGUGUAAAGAAAAAUAAUAUCAAUUAGCCUGCGGGUAGGAAGAAANN
rnacentral:lncRNA from 1 species